rnacentral:misc_RNA from 1 species
AGUCGUAACAAGGUAUCCGUAGGUGAACCUGCGGAUGGAUCAUUAACAAAGCUAUGCUGAGUGUUUUACCACGCUCCAGCGCCGCUAUACCACCAAAUGUGAACUGUUUUGAAACAUUAGCCGUCGGCGUGUGAUGGGGUGUAAUAACCAUUAUAGUCAUCUGCCGGCGGUGAUACACAAACACCAUAACACUAAAAACUUAAUACGCGCAUACCUAGUAGAAAAAUUCUAUAUACAACUUUUAGCAACGGAUCUCUAGGCUCUU